rnacentral:rRNA from 1 species
GAUGAACGCUGGCGGCGUGCCUAAUACAUGCAAGUCGAGCGAACAGACGAGGAGCUUGCUCCUCUGACGUUAGCGGCGGACGGGUGAGUAACACGUGGAUAACCUACCUAUAAGACUGGGAUAACUUCGGGAAACCGGAGCUAAUACCGGAUAAUAUAUUGAACCGCAUGGUUCAAUAGUGAAAGACGGUUUUGCUGUCCCUUAUAGAUGGAUCCGCGCCGCAUUAGCUAGUUGGUAAGGUAACGGCUUACCAAGGCAACGAUGCGUAGCCGACCUGAGAGGGUGAUCGGCCACACUGGAACUGAGACACGGUCCAGACUCCUACGGGAGGCAGCAGUAGGGAAUCUUCCGCAAUGGGAGAAAGCCUGACGGAGCAACGCCGCGUGAGUGAUGAAGGUCUUCGGAUCGUAAAACUCUGUUAUUAGGGAAGAACAAAUGUGUAAGUAACUAUGCACGUCUUGACGGUACCUAAUCAGAAAGCCACGGCUAACUACGUG